rnacentral:rRNA from 1 species
CCUGAAGCUUAUCCGCGUACUUCUCUUCUUCCCAACCUCGCAUCUCUCCUCCCAAAUCCCAAUCCUCCAUGAAAUUCCUCCCUCUUUUUUCCUUUGACUCCACGCCGGCGAGCAAGCCACUCUGGUUAGCCAGCACCACCCAUUGAACCUUCCCCUUAGUCUAUCCCCCACGAUCCAUGGUCACAGACGGCGGGUCUCUGGACCUGGCGAUGUGCUGUGCUGCAAGGGGGCAGGUUCCCUUGCUGGAACCAUCGCCGUGCUGGUAGCUCUACGGCUGCCGUGCUGGAAUCCGGCCACACCCGUGCUGGAAUCGGUGAAGAAAAUUAUUGGAACCGGCUAUUUGAUUUGUUACAACCGAUGAUUCAAGACGUUGCAUCCAUAGUGGUGGAGGUAUUUUUUUGCUGGAACUCCCAAGCUGAUUUGCUAGAACCGGCUACUAGAUUUGCUGGAUCCGACAAAGUUUUUUGUUGAGACCGUCAACGACGACGCAUGUGUUUUUGUUGUAACCGGUAUAUGUAUUUCCUGCCAUCAGUGAUUUGAUUCGCUGCAACCGUUCCAUUUUUUUUGCUACAUUCAUUCAGAGCCGAGCUGCAUCCUGCGACGGCGGCAACCUUUUUUGCUGCAACCGUUGUAGUUUUUGCUACCUCCGUCGAGGAUUUUUGGUACAUCAUUUUUUCAUGGUGGAGCUGCAGUCUCGACGAUGGGGACCAUGAUUUUGUGUUGCAACCAUCGUUGCUUUUUCCUACGACCUAUGAAUUUUUUGCUACAUACGUUCAUUUUUUCUUUUUUUGAGAUGGUGUGCUACAUCUGACGACAGAAGAGGGCGAGCGCGGGAGAC